CCCGAAAUCCUAAAAUUUGACAAGAAAUCUUUCUUUUUUCCCUCCUUUCUUUUCCCAAAAUCAGUUCCCUCCCCCAUCCCCAAAGAAAUCCUAAAAUUUCACUUGAAAUUUCUUCUCUUUUUUUCCCCAUUUUAUUUUUCCCAAACCAUUUCUCCCCUACCCCGAUUCCCUUUAUUUUUUCCCUCAAUUUCCUCAAAUCGGCAGCCCUCUACAUCUCCGUCGGUAGCCCGCUGCUGUAUCUCUGUCGACAUUUGCUGUCGGUAGCCCUCUCUCUCUUUGUUUACUAUCACUGUUUUUACUUGUAAUUUUCAUAUUAAUAACUAUCUCUUCAAAUGGGUUUUCUUUUCAAUUUAUAUGCCAUCGGGAAUAGACCUCUUUAGUCUUCGAAAACACUUUCCCUGAUCGUUAAUUUUACUACAGUUGACAGUGUUCUAAGGGUUCAGACUCGAGAGUGUGCUAUUGGUAUGCUUGAAAAAGCUAUAAAGUAACUUCAUUUGUUCAGUUCUCCUUGUGCUCAGAGAUAAAUCGAUUCUUGUUUUUUUGAAUUUUGCAAUAUGAGAAAACAAAUACUCUUGUUUUUCCCUCUGUUGUUUGCUCCCUCUUGAAUAUUCACUGAAAUCCCAAAAAUCCCAUAUUGUUUUUGUUUUGUUUUUGAGGUUCAAAUGUCUCAAAACUCUAGAAAGGAAUCACACAUACCUAUAGAGGAAUUCAAGACGAUUAAGAAGAAAAUGUGGAUGUUUUCUCUUUAGUCUUUCUUUUUGUUUGAAAAAACGAUCUCCCCAGAAUUUUUCACUUGCGUUAUGGAAGCUAUCAUCGAAACAAUCAUAGCACUGAUCAUCGGCAACAACGAGAAAGUCGCUAACCAUCAAAACUUUGUUCUUCAAAAGCUAUCUUUCUGGUUCGCUCCCACCACACGUCCACCUGGUCUACUCUCUUUCACUUCUGGUUCCUAAAGACAAACUCUCAUACAACUUCGUUUAGCUUUCUUUUUAUUUUUGUGUGUGUUUUUAUAUGGCUGCUUACUAUUUCAACGGUAACAUUUUUUUAUCUGGGAAUUGUUAUUCUGGUUUCCUCGAUCCCUUUUCCCGUGAUUUGGGUCCAUGCAAUGGGAUUUCACAGUCCUUGGUUUUGGAUAAUGAGAAACGUGAGCUCGUGGUGAAGUCGCCGGUGAAAGUUGGGAAGAAAAGCAUGGCAGAAGAGAAAGUUAUAGCAGCUUUAAAGAGUUAUAGCGAAGCUGAGAGGAGGAGGAGAGGAAGGAUUAAUGCUCACCUGGACACCUUCCGUACUCUCUUUCCAUACAGAGAAAAGAGAAAGAGAAAUGGCUGGAAGUAAUGAAAUCAACCUCAACAAGUGCAAGGUUUAGGUAAGAUCAAUCCUUGGUGGUUUAAUCUUGCUGUUUCGGGUUGGAAGAACUGUAUAAAAGAAAUCAGUUAAAUUGCUGCUAUUAAUGAGGUCCGAAAGGAAACUGGAUCUGGGAACAUGCAAAACUUAAAGCUAGAAUGCAGACUUUACAAAGAAACAUGAGGACAAAGAAGGAGAAUGGCUGAUUGCAGGCGAUAUUCCAUGCUGUUGGUUUCAAUUAGAUGAGGCUAACAUCUCCAUCACCAGUGUAUAGAGGUAUCUUUGCCACGUUCCUCGCAGGUUCAAGACAGGUUUCAGAGAAGGUACUAAAGCAACACCAAGAAAGAAGGUUGCAGCAGUUUCUGCGUAAAAGGCAAAUUGUAAUGGUAUGAGGUUUUGUUUUGGAUGAAGCCAUGUUUAUGAGGAAACAUUUAGUGAUGAAGAGUGAAAUUAUGUUCCAUUGGAUGCUUUACUUGUUAUUUAGUUUCUAUUUGAAUGUAGCUGUCUUAUAUUUUGAACAAUUAUUGGAGCUAAUAUGUUUGACCCUUAAUUUCUUCAUUGUCUUUUUUUUUUAA